GCGGAUUUGUCGGCACACCCGGGGAAAGUGUAAUCCGGGGCGUGACAGAUUAAGUUGGUAUCAGAGCUUUGCUAUAGGUCGUUGGGACCUAGGAAACCUAAGUUUGGCAAACCUUAGGAAAGCAAGACGUGAGAGGCGUAAUUUUAUUGCGAAAGUCAAUGAUUGUUUGUUCUAACUGCUCCUAGAGUGGAGUGAGUGACUGAGGGAGUUCCUGUUUUGGCCUGAGAAAUUAUGUUGGCUGCAGACGACAUAAUUUUAGAGGAAAAACAGGGACCGCCUUCUAGACUUUCGUUCGAUUGGGUCGAGAGUGUUUGGUUGUAUCUGACCCCGAUUUGUUCCUUUCAGCUAUGUUUCGUCGCCGAGGUCGACCGUCGUUGCGGGAGCGUGCGCAGUUGGCGCAGGAUCGUGCUAGAUCUCCCGAGAUGCCUGAGCAGGCAGAGGCGAGUGUACCCCGAGUUGUAGAGCAGAGGGCCUGACCGGAGGCGACUGCAUCCCCAGAUUUGAGUGCACAGUUGGUUGCCCUGACUGAGGUGACGAGACAGCAGGGGGAGCUAUUGCAGAGGUUGUGCGAGAGGAUAGCUCAGCCACCGAGUUCUGUACCGAGGGCACCAGAGUCACCAGUUCCACCCCCGACUACUCCAGUGACAGCACCAGCUGCAGCAGUUCCUCCAUCGGCAGCAGUUCCAGUAGCGCCAGUUGCGCCUGCUAGGGGGCCAGUACCGUUGACUGAGGCCGAGCAGGAGCGGUGGAUGGAGAGGUUAGCUCGUUUCCGCCGAUUUGAUCCACCGAUCUUCGAUGGCAGAGGCACUGAGGCCUGGAUUGUUGAGGGAUGGGUCAGUGCGAUGGAGAAGUUAUUCGAGGAUCUGUUCGUUCCAGAGGGGGAGCAN
rnacentral:lncRNA from 1 species